rnacentral:lncRNA from 1 species
UCUCUUCCAAUGCAAAUCCAAAGAAUGAGGGGUAAGGAGGAUGUCAAGGUGUGAUCCUAAAGGCAAAGCAUAUGAUGAGAUAGUACGAGGGAUCUUAGGGUCAGAAUUGAGGUCUUACACUAUGGAAAACUUUUUAUUCACUUUACAAUUGCAAAAUACUGUGAAUUACAAUGUUAUGAAUAUUUUAUUCACUUCCUUACAAAAAUAAGGGUUACUCCCUCUAUUUAUAGAUUUAGAUUAACUUGGACCUCAAACCAAAACCCAAAAUAGCUAACACCACUAAAAUAGACAUAAGUCAAAAUCCUGUGGGACACAAGAAAUUAGAAUUCAACAAUCUGAGCCAUGCUCAUAUCCGAUGCACACAAACACUUCAACGUGAACCACCGCAAGUUCUCCUCCAACUACCAUGAAAUCGAAAACGCACGGAGCUUAUGAAAAAUACAUCGCCGCCGAAAAACGUGUAUUCACCGGAAACCACAAACCCAUCCACCACAACGUCGCACACAUCACCGCUACUGGAAACGAGUCGUGUAUGCCGUCGUUGAUUGGGUAUUUCUUUUCUAUCAUUCGUUUUCUUUCUCUUUUGUUGUUUUUUUUGGAAUUUGUUGGUUUUGUUUGAACGAAGAAAGAGAGGAAUUUGGUAUCAUGCGAGAAGAAAACGUCUUUCAUUUUUCGGAUCUAUUUCAAAGGGAGAAUAUCAUCGUAUAAUUAGUGAAAGAGAAAGCAAACACUCUCUCUUAUUCAUUAUUUAAUUUCCUUUUUCAUUUUUAAUAUUUAGUGAGAAUAUGUUCUUAGAAUAUGCUUAGGAUAUGGUGUCAUGUGUAUCUCUUU